rnacentral:rRNA from 1 species
GCGGGACAACUUGCCCGGCCCGGACACAGGAAUGAUUGACAGAUUGAGAGCUCUUUCUUGAUUCUGUGGGUGGUGGUGCAUGGCCGUUCUUAGUCGGUGGAGUGAUUUGUCUGGUUAAUUCCGAUAACGGACGAGACUCUGACCUGCUAACUAGUUUCGCUUGCUACCUUUUAGGUCAGGUGGGAACUUCUUAGAUGGAUUGGCGCCUUUUUGAAUGCGCAUGAAAUAGAGCUAUAA